UGUUUAUUUUCUCUCUACUUUUCCGUCAAGAAAACAACAAAAACACAUUCUUAUUUGACAGAAAAUGGGAGAGAAAGAUUGGGGCAUGCUGUUUUCUGUUUCGGGGAGGAGAUAUUAUUCCCAUGUUUGAUUUUUUUUAAAUUAAAUCUUAGUUUCAUUACUUCGGGAAGUAGUGGGAUUGUUUAAAUUUCUUUUUUCAUUGAAAUUGCGGACAAAGACUAAUCAAAAUGACAGUUGGAGAUCAAGAAAGUAUGGAAAUACAUCAAAGGCUUCUGAAAAAGUUUGUGAUAUGAAAUACUGUCCUAUAUGCAGUUAUACUUCAACAGAGGCUGUGGAUUUACGGUGUCAUAUGGCAUCUCAUGUUAGUUUUCAUCCUCCUUUUAACUGUCCUGUUUGUUAUAAAACAUUCUCAAAUAAAUAUAAUGUUCAAACUCAUAUGGUAAUACAUACGGGUGAACGGCCUUUUGAAUGUAA